CGGGUGUGGUAUCAGGGAAAAGGGGUUUACUUCUUUGACCAGAUAACACACUAGUGGCGGACGGGUGAGUAACGCGUGGAUAACCUGCCUUAUACAGGGGGAUAACAGGGAGAAAUUCUUGCUAAUACCCCAUAGGUAUGUCUGACGCAUGUUGGACAUAUUAAAGCUUUGGCGGUAUAAGAUGGGUCCGCGUCUGAUUAGCUAGUUGGUGGGGUAAAGGCCCACCAAGGCGACGAUCAGUAGCCGGCUUGAGAGAGUGGACGGCCACAUUGGGACUGAGACACGGCCCAAACUCCUACGGGAGGCAGCAGUGGGGAAUAUUGCACAAUGGGGGAAACCCUGAUGCAGCGACGCCGCGUGAAGGAAGAAGGUCUUCGGAUCGUAAACUUCUAUCAGCAGGGAAGAAGGAAGUGACAGUACCUGAGUAAGAAGCCCCGGCUAACUACGUGCCAGCAGCCGCGGUAAUACGUAGGGGGCGAGCGUUAUCCGGAAUUACUGGGUGUAAAGGGUGCGUAGGCGGUAUGGCAAGUCAGUUGUGAAACCCCCUGGCUCAACCAGGGGCUUGCAAUUGAAACUGUCAUACUAGAGUGCAGGAGAGGAAAGCGGAAUUCCUAGUGUAGCGGUGAAAUGCGUAGAUAUUAGGAAGAACACCAGUGGCGAAGGCGGCUUUCUGGACUGUAACAGACGCUGAGGCACGAAAGCGUGGGGAGCGAACAGGAUUAGAUACCCUGGUAGUCCACGCCGUAAACGAUGAGUGCUAGGUGUUGGGGUCUAAUUAGAUCUCGGUGCUGAAGUUAACGCAUUAAGCACUCCACCUGGGGAGUACGAUCGCAAGAUUGAAACUCAAAGGAAUUGACGGGGACCC
rnacentral:rRNA from 1 species